UUUCUACAUCUAUAAAUAGAAUCCUAUGAACAUGAUUUUGGGUACACCAAUUGCAUUGAGCAUUCAUUCUACUCUUGCAAUUCUCUCCUUUCUAAUUCUGUAACGUUUUCAUGCAUUUCCUUGGUAGAGAGGAAAUUCUGUUCGAGUUCGCUAGUCGAAGUCAUUUGGAGUGCUCCUAUGGCUUGACGUUGUCGUUAUAUCUUGGGAGAUGAUUGUCGAAAAACUGUUGUACCGA
rnacentral:lncRNA from 1 species